CCCCUCGCUCCCGGCCCAGUGACUCAGCAUCUCACGCAGCCCAGCACUGCUCUGCAGGCUGUGGGCGUGCGCUCGGGCUUUUCCGCCCACCGCCAGUACAUUCCACUCAGCCCCCCAUGGCAGCCCACGCUCCACGGUCACCCUUGUCGGGCAGGCUCAAAUCAAGGCCUAAUCCGGCCAUAUACUCUUGCCUCAGCGUCCUCAUCUUUAGGACGAGUCCUGAGUUCAAAUCCCGGCAACCACAUCCGUAAGGAGAUCCGACUCCCUCUUCUGGAGUGUCUGAAGACAGCUACAGUGUACUUACAUAUAGUAAAUACAUUCUUUAAAAAAAAAAAAAAAAAGGUUCUGCUGAAUUGAAUACAUGAAUGAAUGAAAGAAGCAAGCGGAUCCGGCACGAGAAACUCCGCCUCUGCCCUUCAAGUCACUUCCGAACAGAAGCCAGCCAAGGUUCAUCGCAAGUGGCCACACUUGUGUUAGAGAGGCCAGCA
rnacentral:lncRNA from 1 species